UGAACUCUCAGUUACAUUAUAACUUUUCUGGGACCAGUCAGGAGAAAAAUAACAGGUUCCCCACCAUUUUCAGACCGAAAAGCUCCCCCCUUUUCUGAGAAGCGUCCGUUUCAACAGUACUACCGAGGAUGAGGUGCAUUUUGAUGAAGAUAGGGAGCUGGUGGCUGACUACGAUGUUGUGAAUUUGGUCACAUUUCCUAACCAAACUGCCGUAAGAGUGAAAGUGGGGAAGUUGGUGACCCGGGAGUCCUCAGGUCUAGAGAUGACCAUCGAUGAAGAGGCCACGGUGUGGCCCAAAUGGUUCAACCAGGUGGGGAGUGUAUUUGUGUUCUGUGCUGUCGUGUAGUAGCUGGGAGCACAAGCUGAGAGCUGGAAGAUGUACAUUUCAAAUUAAAAGUGAAUGUAAAAGC